rnacentral:rRNA from 1 species
UACGUAGGGUGCGAGCGUUGUCCGGAAUUAUUGGGCGUAAAGAGCUCGUAGGCGGUGUGUCACGUCGGCCGUGAAAACCUGCAGCUUAACUGUGGGCGUGCGGUCGAUACGGGCAUCACUGGAGUCGGCAGGGGAGACUGGAAUUCCUGGUGUAGCGGUGAAAUGCGCAGAUAUCAGGAGGAACACCGGUGGCGAAGGCGGGUCUCUGGGCCGAUACUGACGCUGGAGGAGCGAAAGCGUGGGGAGCAAACAGG